rnacentral:rRNA from 1 species
UACAGAGGCCCCGAGCGUUAGGCGGAAUCACUGGGCUUAAAGCGUGUGUAGGUGGAUGCCUAAGUACCUUGUGAAAUCCCACGGCUUAACCGUGGAAUUGCUGGGUAUACUGGGUGUCUUGAGCCACUCAGGGGCUACCGGAACAAAUGGUGGAGCGGUGAAAAUGCGUAGAUAUCAUUUGGAACGCCAAUGGUGAAAACAGGUAGCUGGGGGUGUGCUGACACUGAGACACGAAAGCCAGGGGAGCAAACGGG